AAUUAGUACAACAAUCAUUGGUGCAGGUUGAAUUAAGAUAGAUGAACUACGUCUUCUUCAUCUUACUUCUUCUGGUUACUACUUCAAACAGAUCAUGGGUUGUAGAAUCUAGACCUACUUCUUUCUUUCCUCAACAAAGAUUGUUGAAGAGGUUGGAAUCUAUGGGGAUGAUUUGUAAUUGUUGUGAUGGACCUAAAGGAGAGUGCACUGGAAUUAAACUUGAGUUAUCUUGUUCUAAUCUUCAAUGUCUUCCAUGGAAACAACCUUUUGAUCAUUAGUAGUAGUAGAUAAUUUUCUAAGUAAUAUUGUCUUCAAUUUGUUGUAAUCCUUGGUAAAAUUGAUGUAUGUAAUAGCACAAUUAGAAAUAAUAAUUAAAAAGCAUAAUAUAUUAUAUUUCAA